GACGGAGAGGGCUAGCGUUGUUCGGAAUUACUGGGCGUAAAGAGUGCGUAGGCGGUUUAGUAAGUUGGAAGUGAAAGCCCGAGGCUUAACCUCGGAACUGCUUUCAAAACUACUAAUCUAGAGGGUAGUAGGGGGUGAUGGAAUUCCUAGUGUAGAGGUGAAAUUCUUAGAUAUUAGGAGGAACACCGGUGGCGAAGGCGGUCAUCUAGGCUACAACUGACGCUGAUGCACGAAAGCGUGGGGAGCAAACAGG
rnacentral:rRNA from 1 species